rnacentral:rRNA from 1 species
AUGGCGGUGGUGCACAUCCCGCGCCAGUUCAAGGUGCUGGACUGGUUCCUGAACAGGAAGGACUACAAGGACGGGAGGUUCGCCCAGGUCGUCUCCAACGCCAUCGACAUGAAGCUCAAGGAUGAUCUUGAGAGGCUCAAGAAGAUCACGGAGCUCCGCAUCCGAGUCUCGUCCAUCCUCGGCAGCAAGGAGCUGGGCCAAGGGAGCAAGCAGCGCUGCUGGUUACUUGGGGCCAGAUCGAAUUAG